AGUGCCUGGUCUGUUAUCACGCGUGUCGCUUGAUGAGCGUCGCAUCUUCUCCAUGCCUCACCCGCCAUGCAGUGUGCGUGUGUGUGUGUGCGUCCAAAUAUUCCGAACGCAAAAUUGAAGCCGAAGCUGGGAGUAGAAGACGUGUGCCAAAAUGGCACAACACACAACGAAGCGACGAUCGCAUUCGAAAGAGUUGCACCCAGAGCUUUCGGAACAAAGAUAGAGAGCCGGUGACGCUCGUCGGACCUGUGAUGUUUGGGCGACACGAAACAUACACACACAAAACAAAAAACAACCAACAAAAAAACAUACAUUUUGAUUAUCAAGUUUUGCCACACUUGUGUUUACUUGCAGACACACGUACACAUGUCGGUGACGCUAGAGAGCUGGUCCAGAACAGUGCGAGAGUUUGAAGUGCGUGCAACGUUUUUGUUUGCGAUUUCGUUUACGGUGUCCGCUGCAAGUGCUAACCCCAGACAAUGGAUUAGAUCAGGGAUCGCCAAACUACUCCAAAUCUAGCAGCAUGAGGUCCUCGAGACUUAUCAAAACGAGAUGUAACCGUUCAUCCACUAGCUAAAGAUAACGUCAGAAUAACCCUCGACAAAACUAUUUGCAGAGCAAUGUAGCCCGCGAAUUGAAAAGGUUGGGAGAUCCCUGAAUUAGAUGAUCCCCAAGAUUGGAUUAGAGAUAUAGCAGCCUGCAUCUAGCUGUCAAGCGCCAUAUAUUUUGGGGCGAAAUUGACCAUGGCAAGUCAUUCUCCAUUGUUUCUCCACUUACAUCGGUGCGGUCCGCUGGCAAACAAAAAACGACAACAAAACACCUUUUAUUGGAAGAACAAUUGCGUUUGGCGACAGACUAUCCCAUCCCGUUUGUCACACAGCCUUGAGCAUUAUGUUGUGAUAAAUUACUUUCCGUCAAGCGUACGGACAUAAGUCUAGCAAACAUGGCCGGCCCACAGACCAUAGUAGCCUACCUGGAACCUACCCCAACCCAAACUCCUGGCCCUGGUGGCUUUUAUUGCGUUGCCACCAGGUCUGGGCAAUUAAUAUCUAUUGUUGUGUGAUGUACGGCAAGGCGAAAAAUACACAUCGGGAACACACGCCGGAAAAGGGAAAUUGGUACCGAAACCCAUUAUGCCAAGCAUGGGACACACAACACACGCAUCGCCCAUUUCCUUGCUUUUGUCCUUUCUUGGGAGAGCGAAAUCAUGUCGUUGCACAACUAACGGCUGGCGGGGUGGUACGCGUCGUCGCACGAUAACCAUCAAUUGCCGGUAACUCUGGACCACAUUGGAAGGUGCUGCGAGGUGGGUGGGUUGUCACACCAAUGUCUGGAACGUUUGGAAAUUGCGUCACCACAAACCACGUUCCGUAACGUACGAUGGUCCGCAGUAGCAGCAGUAGCAGGGAAGUUCUAUUGGAUUAGGACCUCAUUAUGACCUAAUCCACGAUUCGGAGCUUAGUGGCCAACCUAUUUCGGGAGCUACCGAGGGCUAGCAGUGCGCUUCGAUGCAGUCAUUGUACAUUGGCACUUAGCGAGGUGUAAUUUAAUAAAGUCAUUUUACGAAAC